rnacentral:rRNA from 1 species
UCGAGGAUCUUCCGCAAUGGGCGCAAGCCUGACGGAGCGACGCCGCGUGUGGGAUGAAGGCCUUCGGGUUGUAAACCACUGUCGACGGUUAUGAAAGGGUCUGGAGUUAACAGCUCCAGGCACUGACAAAGGCCGGCGAGGAAGCCACGGCUAACUUCGUGCCAGCAGCCGCGGUAAGACGAAGGUGGCGAGCGUUGUUCGGAAUCACUGGGCAUAAAGCGCACGUAGGCGGCGACAUAAGUCGGGUGUGAAAUCCCUCGGCCUAACCGAGGAACUGCGCCCGAUACUGUGUUGCUUGAGGACCAAAGGGGUGCAUGGAAUUCCCGGUGGAGCGGUGAAAUGCGUUGAUAUCGGGAGGAACGCCGGCGGCGAAAGCGGUGCACUGGUUGGUUUCUGACGCUGAGGUGCGAAAGCCAGGGGAGCAAACGGGAUUAGAUACCCGGGUAGUCC